rnacentral:rRNA from 1 species
UACGUAGGGUGCAAGCGUUGUCCGGAAUUAUUGGGCGUAAAGAGCUUGUAGGCGGUUUGUCGCGUCUGCUGUGAAAUUUCGGGGCUCAACCCCGAACUUGCAGUGGGUACGGGCAGACUAGAGUGCGGUAGGGGAGAUCGGAAUUCCUGGUGUAGCGGUGAAAUGCGCAGAUAUCAGGAGGAACACCGGUGGCGAAGGCGGAUCUCUGGGCCGUAACUGACGCUGAGGAGCGAAAGCAUGGGGAGCGAACAGGA